CGCUCGGCGGCCGCCGCCAGACUCGCCGCUGCCGUCGGCCAUGGCUUCCCCGCCGCCGCCGCCCGCCCCCACCACUAUAACAGAUCUCAGCGAAGACCUCCUCCGCGCGAUCUUCCUCCGCCUCCCGUCCCUCCCGAGCCUCAUCCACGCCGCCUACAGCCACCCCGCCUUCCGCAACGCCGCCCGCUCGUCCCGCGCGUUCCGCCGCAGCUUCAGCGAGCUCCACCCGCCGGACGUCCUCGCCUUCUUCAGUGCGAAACACAUGAAGGUAAUCCUGACCUCCCCCUCCCACUCCCCAUGGCGCCGCUCCGACCCGGAUCUCCUCGCCGCCGAUUUCUUGCAGUUGGACCGCCCCAGCAACGGCUGUUGGGAGAUCAAAACCUCGGAUCCAGACUACAAGGGCUACCUUUGCCUCAUCAACCCGAGUGGCGGGCUCGCCCCCUACAACCCUGUAACUCAAGCCCUCAAAAUCUUCGUCCCGGCGCCAACGCCACAGGACAGAGUCGCCACACAAGGAAUUGAGUUCUUGACGCUCGCCUGUGACGACGAUCCAAAGUCGUCGCGUGUGCUCUGCGUCGGCCACGACAAGAAAUGGACGCGCAUGAGAGUGGCCGUCUUCUCGCCGCGCACAAUGGAGUGGCAGGUUUUUCCAGAGGCCGAGGCACUGCUGCUGCCUGAGAGAGAUAGGAACAUGAUGGGCUCGGUGAUGCGCGGGUUCGUCUGCUGGGCACACUGGAGAGGAGACUGCAUCCUCAAGCUCAACACGGCCACCUUUCAGUUCUCUGUUAUGAAUCCGCCAACGCCAUUAUACGCAUCAAUCAAGGUUUGCCAGACAACAGAUGAGAAGCUCUGUGUCGUACAUAUGAAGGAGACCAAACUUGCUGCUUGGCUUUGGAUAACUGAAACUGAUGAUGGCUCUCUAGAUGGGAGGUGGAUGAUGUCCAAGGAGUUUCCAUUGCGCCCGAUUUUGAAGGAGCUCGCUGAGGACUACUCAGUAGAGGUAGAGUAUGUUUAUGGGCUUCUUGUGGCCGCCAUCGACGGCUUUGUGUAUAUGACUAUUUACUAUGGCAAGCCUUCAGAUCCUUCUGAGGUGUUCCUAUCCUUAUGCCUGGAAACAGCAGAGACGAAGAAGCUCUUUAAGGGUGCAUUCUGUUAUAAUGACGAGACCCAGCCCUACGUCAUGACAUGGCAUCCCUCUCUGGUGCAAAGCAAGGAGGCAUCAAAAACUAAAGUUACUCAAGACAAUGUUGUGGAUGAUUGUCCCGUGAGCACAGAAGAAACUUCCUCUCUUGUCACUGCAUUACAGUCAUUUAAACAAUCUAUGGUAAAUGACGGUGAGGACAUCAUGGAGGAUUACAAGGUCCCUCUUAUGAGCAAAAUCACUACUUUGGAUGCGCAAUGGAAUAGUGCAAGGGAUCGUAUCUUGAGGAUAAGUGCAUGACUCUUUUCUUCUAUAUGAACCGCUGGAGCACCUGACCAUUCAAGUCUUCAUUUGUUUUUACUGGAAUAGUAACCUGAUGAUGGCAAGCGUGCAAGGAGAAGCUGACGGGAGCUUGUUGUCGUGAUCAUAGUGUGUAUCAGGGAACAGAAACUGAAGUUACCCGAGACUGUUGCAGAUGGUCAAGAUUCCCUCUGUCUUUGUGAGUGCACUGCAUUCAUUCCGCCAAGUUCAGAUGAAUGAUGGUAAAGAAACUGUGUUCUAUUGAAGAUGACAAGGGCUAUCUUAUAAGAAACAUAACUACUUUGGAUGCACAAUUGGUGUCUGUGAAUGACUCUGAGAGCAAGUGUACAAGGGGAAGCUGUUAACAACUUGUUGCCAGUUCGAGUAACCUUCCAAUUGAUCAUGUUGUGUGCUCGAGCUGAGAGCAUUGUAUUACUGCAGGGUUGUGAAACAAUGCUAUCCACUUGAAUGCCUUCGCUCCAUCUAAAGAAAGUGGCGUUGAAGUGGGUAUAGAAGUGGGCUUCCUCUGCUUUGAAUGCCAAUGUGUUAGAUAAGGUGGAUUUUGGAUUCAUUGGCAGCUGUGAUGACAAUUGGAGGGCUAGUAAUUCCAUGUGGCUACAGUGGAAAAAGAGAGCUUUCCGCAUUGCUCAAAUUGAAUACCAAAGAUUUUCUUCGACCAGUUUGGAUGACAAGUGUACCCUACUUCUACAAUUGCAAUGACAACAAUGCUUCUUGGACUGAGAAGUAUCAUUGUUUCAUGUUCGAAGCAAAAAAUAAGAAUAAAAAUCAGUUAAGCAAAGCAGAUUUCUUUAAUCUCAUGUUAUCCUCAUGUCAAUCUGUUGAUGCUUUGUCCUUAUGACGUAUCUUAUUUGUCGCCAGGGGAGAAUUCAAGAACUGGUCCGAGUUAAGCAAAGUGUGCCGAAUUCAUAUGCUGGAAUUUCAGUAAAUGUGUGCACAACUAACAAGUAACAAGACACACUCAGUCGUAUCUGUCGUGACUGUGUUCGCGAUGAUUAGUUGAUAUAACUGUAGAUGUAUAUAUUUCUUUUCCCGGAAGAAAAGGAAGAGAAAUUAUACCUCAGUUGUCCAUGGGCAGCAACAGGUACAGACCUGAUCUAUGUGUGCCGAGAUAAUAGCAUCAGGCUGGUUAUAACUGAUGACAAAGAAACGAAACACUGUUGAACAGCAUGCAGCCUCUCUAAUUGCGAUGGCACCUCAAGUGCACAACAAUAAUUAAUUCUCUAGUGA